rnacentral:rRNA from 1 species
AGCGGACGCUGGCGGCAGGCCUAACACAUGCAAGUCGAACGAAGUCUUCGGACUUAGUGGCGGACGGGUGAGUAACACGUGGGAACGUGCCCUUUGGUACGGAAUAACUCAGGGAAACUUGAGCUAAUACCGUAUGUGCCCUUCGGGGGAAAGAUUUAUCGCCAUUGGAGCGGCCCGCGUCUGAUUGGCUAGUUGGUGAGGUAAAGGCUCACCAAGGCGACGAUCAGUAGCUGGUCUGAGAGGAUGAUCAGCCACAUUGGGACUGAGACACGGCCCAAACUCCUACGGGAGGCAGCAGUGGGGAAUCUUGCGCAACGGGCGAAAGCCUGACGCAGCCAUGCCGCGUGAAUGAUGAAGGUCUUAGGAUUGUAAAAUUCUUUCACCGGGGACGAUAAUGACGGUACCCGGAGAAGAAGCCCCGGCUAACUUCGUGCCAGCCGCCGCCGUAAAAC